UACGUAGGGGGCUAGCGUUGUCCGGAAUCAUUGGGCGUAAAGCGCGUGUAGGCGGUCCGGUAAGUCCGCUGUGAAAGUCGAGGGCUCAACCCUCGAAUGCCGGUGGAUACUGUCGGGCUAGAGUGCGGAAGAGGCGAGUGGAAUUCCUGGUGUAGCGGUGAAAUGCGCAGAUAUCAGGAGGAACACCUAUUGCGAAGGCAGCUCGCUGGGACGUUACUGACGCUGAGACGCGAAAGCGUGGGGAGCAAACGGG
rnacentral:rRNA from 1 species